rnacentral:ncRNA from 1 species
AUGAAAACGAUGAUGGGGAAAGUAAUUUGUUUUGGUUUGUGUUAGAGAGGAGAUGCCACCGGCUGCAAGCAUCUCUCACAGAGAAGCAGAGGAAGACCACCCCGGAGUGCUGAGUUGAAGAGAAGUAAGCUCAGACGUCGGCCCGCGUUAAGGGAGCAAAGUGAAAGCAUCCGAGGGUGCUUUAACUUGGGUGGAACCACGGGAAUAAAGUUCUCGUCCCAUAU